CUGGCGUGGUGUCACCCUGAGGAGAUGGGCAUUGACUUCCAGAGAUUUUUAACUGUUUCCACAUACACGUGAAAAUUUUCCUCAUACAUGUGUCUUGGGAGACACAUGAAGCUUUGUGACAAAUGGGACAUUUGGAUGAUGAAGAGAUGACUUGAAGACUCAGGAAGAGAUGCUUCAGACUCCUGCCCCUGGAGCACAGUGAAAUAAAGGU
rnacentral:lncRNA from 12 species